rnacentral:rRNA from 1 species
AGCGACCCCAGGUCAGGCGAGACUACCCACUGAGUUUAA